GCGCGGUUAGCUCAAUUGGUAGAGCGCCACAUUGACGUUGUGGAUGUUGUAGGUUCAAGUCCUACACCGCGCA
rnacentral:tRNA from 1 species